rnacentral:rRNA from 1 species
CGAAGGGGGCUAGCGUUGUUCGGAAUCACUGGGCGUAAAGCGCACGUAGGCGGUUCUUUAAGUCAGGGGUGAAAUCCCGAGGCUCAACCUCGGAACUGCCUUUGAUACUGGGGAUCUCGAGUCCGGGAGAGGUGAGUGGAACUGCGAGUGUAGAGGUGAAAUUCGUAGAUAUUCGCAAGAACACCAGUGGCGAAGGCGGCUCACUGGCCCGGAACUGACGCUGAGGUGCGAAAGCGUGGGGAGCAAACAGG